rnacentral:rRNA from 1 species
CAGCAGCAGCCGCGGGAAUACAGAGGGUGCGAGCGUUAAUCGGAUUUACUGGGCGUAAAGCGUGCGUAGGCGGCUUUUUAAGUCGGAUGUGAAAUCCCUGAGCUUAACUUAGGAAUUGCAUUCGAUACUGGGAAGCUAGAGUAUGGGAGAGGAUGGUAGAAUUCCAGGUGUAGCGGUGAAAUGCGUAGAGAUCUGGAGGAAUACCGAUGGCGAAGGCAGCCAUCUGGCCUAAUACUGACGCUGAGGUACGAAAGCAUGGGGAGCAAACAGGAUUAGAUACCCCUGUAGUCCCUGUCUAUUAUAC